rnacentral:rRNA from 1 species
CCUACGGGGUGCACCAGUGGGGAAUAUUGCACAAUGGGCGCAAGCCUGAUGCAGCCAUACCGCGUGUAUGAAGAAGGCCUUCGGGUUGUAAAGUACUUUCAGCGGGGAGGAAGGUGUUGUGGUUGAUAACCGCAGCAAUUGACGUUACCCGCAGAAGAAGCACCGGCGAACUCCGUGCCAGCAGCCGCGGUAAUACGGAGGGUGCAAGCGUUAAUCGGAAUUACGGGGCGUAAAGCGCACGCAGGCGGUCUGUCAAGUCGGAUGUGAAAUCCCCGGGCUCAACCUGGGAACUGCAUUCGAAACUGGCAGGCUAGAGUCUUGUAGAGGGGGGUAGAAUUCCAGGUGUCGCGGUGAAAUGCGUAGAGAUCUGGAGGAAUACCGGUGGCGAAGGCGGCCCCCUGGACAAAGACUGACGCUCAGGUGCGAAAGCGUGGGGAGCAAACAGGAUUAGAUACCCUAGUAGUC